CUGUCUAUCAGUUCAGCUUAUAAACAAGGCAAGCAAGCAUAGAGCCAUAUGGGAAUGAGACCAGCCCUUGUCCUCGUGGGGUACUUCAACUUCCCCGACAUAUGCUGGGAAUACAAUUUAGUGCAGAAGAAGCAGUCUUGGAGGUUUCUGGAAUGUAUGGAGGACAACUUCUUGAUGCAGCUGAAUGACGCCUGACAUGGAAGUACAUAUGAACCAAAGGUGUGUCACUGAAUUCCUCCAUGCAGAAAAAAUGGCAUCCAUUGACAUUCAUGGACACUUGCUGUAUACUGACAGAGACCAAACAGUGGAGCACAGUGAGGCAGUGGGAGGUGCUGUUGUAGUUCCCAUGGAAAUAAAUAGGAGGCUUCACUUGGGGAACAACCUACCUAGUUUAGUUUCUUCCCUUUAGAAAAUAACAUACAGAUGAAAAAACAGCUUACAGGCUAUUUUGAACUGGAACUGGUAAAGUUUAAAGACUUCCAUAGACACAGAUGGAUGAAAGGUUUUGUGAAGAAAUAUAUAAUAAGUAGUAAAUUGGCGAUUUAAUCUGUAAAUAUAUCCUUUGUGGGGGGAAGGAAAAGGAAGAGACUCAUAAAUAAAUAUUAAAUAUAAAACAAACAAAUAAACUUCAGUUUUUCUCAACCCAAAUUUGUAACAACUUAAAUUCAAGUAAUAGAAGAACCUUAUAAAAGCCAUCAACAUAAUGUUUAUUCACAAAAAUUUAGAGCUCCCACUUUUUGUACCACAGGAGAAGUACACGAGGUCUUGUACUCUGGAGAGCAGAGAUCAGUGUCAAGAAACUCAAUAGUCAUUCUGUUAUAAUGCAAUAGUCUCAACAAACAAUAAAAUAUAUGCCUUAUAAAGGCAAAACAUCCACUGUGUGUAACCUUUUAAACUGUUUUAGAAGAAUUACACAACUAAGAGGUAAUGAUGUCAGGUUGGGAUUUUUUUUUUUAUCUGCUUCCAAGCAGUCAUACUUAAUAAGUAAUUCUUAAUAGAAAUCUAUGUCAGAAUGAUUGUUUGAAACCCUACAUAGCUUUUCUCUCCAGUCCUUAGUGAGCUUAUAAAAAUACAUCAAUUGUUCCAGUAACUAUACUUGUUCCUCUCCUCUUGUAACCAUAUGCCAUAAAGAAAUAGAGAAGCUCUUCCCUGCAUUUUUCCAUGCCUAUUAAAAGAGAUUUUAUUAUGUACAUACUCAUUAGAAACAAUAAUGCUAACUGACUUCCAUUUGCCACAGCUGCCUUCCAUCUACUUCACAUUAAGUCAUAAUUAUCCUUCAGUCUGCCUUUAGGAAUCCUCCAUGAACCACACCUAUAGAACUAAAUACUGAUCAGGGGAAGAUACAACAUAACUGUUCUAACUAAUAGUAGUUAACGAGUCUAAGACAGUCCAUUGCAUUUUAUAUUAUUUGUUGCAUUUCAUUUCUGAAAUGAGUACACAUGAUAAUUUUUGCUCUAGCUUUUGUCAGCUCCAAACAACUUUAACAGGAAUGGUGUACUUGUGGGACUGCACUCAGCAACACACUGAAAUGCUCGGACUUGACAGCGGUUUGCAUCUAGAAGACUAAAUAACAAAAUCACUAAGAUAACAAACAAAGUGCCUCAAUAUUUAAGGAAAGCAGGUUGUUAUGCUGAUGUGUGAACUCACUAGAGUCCAUAGAGCUUUGUUACAAAUUAAAAUAGACUUUAUUUCUUGAAAUAAUAGCAGAUGAAGCAUCCAGCUUCAGUUCUUACAGCAAGUGCAGUAUCUUACCAGCUCUGACUCAUGCUACGAGGACAAUGCAUUGGUUACUCCUUGUUUCUACCAGCACAUCAACUUAGGAAAGAAGUAUUUCAUGUUGUUUCAUGUUUGCAAAUCUAAUAAAGAUUUAUACACCUU
ensembl:lncRNA